rnacentral:lncRNA from 1 species
GAGAGAGGCUGAGGAGUACGUACCAAGGGACAGUUUGUGAGACUCUGGCCUUUUGAGAAGGUGAAUCAGCGUGUGUUAGCUCAGGGCAGAGGGCCUGGCGGUGAGACGUGAGAACAGCCAAUGUCAUGGCGGUGGGGGAGUGGACGUGAGCCAUCUGGGGCCCAGCAAACAGCAUGUUGAAAAAAACGAGGAACUCAAAGGCAGAUGAGCCUACCACGCUGGGAACAGUUGGGAGUACAUUGCUCAAGGGCUUGGAAUGGAGGGGGUGGAGUUGAGGAGAUCACAGAGGACCUAGGAGUGUGUGUAUCGGAGAGAGAUAGGAAACCACUGACCGUUCAGCACACAUUCAGAAUUACUGCCUGUCCCAGGGAGGGACCCACAGCUCCGGCGCUCCGUUCAGCAUCUGGAAGAGCAUAGCUCGCUGUGAGCGGCCGCCCCAGAAGACUGUAUCCCACCCAGCCAGCUCUCCUGCCUGCUUGCCUCUGCCCCACACCAGGACACUUCAUACUGUCAGAACCACUGGGUGUGUGAGCUUGUGAGAGGGUGUGUGGGCACACAUGUCCCUGUGUGGGGUGUGGAGGUCAGAGGGCAACUUGGAGGAAUUGGUUCUCUCCUUCCACCACUGGGGCCCAGGAAUCAAGCCGAGGUUCCCAGACGUGGUAGCAGCCUCCCUUACCUGUUAAACCAGUGCUUCCCAGACUUCCUAAUGCUGUGACCUCAUGCUGUGCUGACCCCCGCCCAUGACAUUAUCUCUGUUGGUAUUUUAUAACUGUAAUUUUGCUACUAUUAUGAAUCACAAUGUAAAUGUCUGUUUUCUGAU